rnacentral:rRNA from 1 species
AUUGAACGUUGGCGGCAGGCCUAACACAUGCAAGUCGAACGGGAACAGGAAGCAUCUUGCUGCUUUGCUGACGAGUGUCGGACGGGUGAUUAAUGUCUGGGAAGCUGCCUGAUGGAGGGGGAUAACUACUGGAAACGGUAGUCAAUACCGCAUUACGUCGCUAGACCAAAGUGGGGGACCUUCCGGCCUCUUUUCAUCGGACGUCCCCCGAUGGUAUAAGCAAGUAGGUGGGGUCAUGGCUCACCUAGGCGUCGCUCCCUACCUGGUCUGAGAGGCUGAUAAGGCACACUGGAACUGAGACACGCUCCACACUCCUACGGGAGGCAGCAGUAGGGAAUGUUGCACAAUGGGCGCAAGGCUGAUGCGGCCGUGCAGCGUGUAUGAAGACGCCCUUGGCAUUGUAAAGUACUUGAGGAGGGGAAGAAGGGAGUAGCGGUACUACCUUAGCUUAUUGACGUUACCCGCAGAAGAAGCACCGGCUAUCUUCAUG